rnacentral:rRNA from 1 species
AUGAGGCACGAGCAAAUGAUCAUCUGGCAUAAGAGAAGGAAGGUUUCUAGGAAAUGGAAAGGCGGAAUUAUGCCACACAUUGUGAAACAAUUGCAUGAGAAGAGCAGAGGUUUGACAUUUCAGGUAACAAGAACUAGUGACACUGAAGCUGAAGUGCAGUGCAAGGCUGGGAGUGGUUAUAGGCAUGUUGUCAAUCUCAGCAAGUGGACUUGCACUUGUAGAGAGUGGCAGGUUUGUGGACAGCCUUGUGUGCAUGCUAUUGCAUUCAUUGGGCAUGUUCGAGUGUCUAUAGAGGAUUAUGUUGAUGAUUGUUAUAGUGUGGAAAAGUUUAGGGCUGCAUAUGAGCAUAUCAUUCCUGGAUUGGUUGACAAGUCUCAAUGGCCCAAAGGUGAUCAUGGCUUCUUCCUAGAACCACCUAUACUAAAGAGCGUAGCGGGGAUACGAAGAAAGAAUAGAUACAAAGGAUCCGAAGAAAGGUCAAAAGGAGCUCACAAAUUCCCAAUCUUUAAACGGUAUGGGCACCAUUGGCAUAGUUGUAGAGAUGGUGAUCAUGAACAAAAGGCAGCUAUGCUUCUUGAAAGGGGGCCACCAAAGAAGAGGAGAAAGAAGAAGAGUGCCAUACAAGACCCUGAGACGGCCAUGGUAGUUGCAUGUGCUUCUACAACUGCUCCGGUCAUGGUAUACCCAUCUAGCACUGAUCUAGUUUCUCAAAUAAAUGAGGAUGCUGGCCCAAAUCUAUCAAGGGUUCUAAAGAACCAAAACAUGCUUCUGGGGAACAAAAGGAAAAAUCUAAGAAGAGUGCGCCGUGAAAGGGAAAGGGUAAGGCUGCCAAAGAGAAGAUUGCCUCACGAGUUGUUGCUAUUGGAGAGCAGACACCAAAAGUCAAAGAAAAAUGCACCGAAGUUGCUCCACAUGAUAGCCCAGCCAUGGGUACAAGAAGCAAAAGGGCAUCUCAUAGCCCAGCUAUGA